rnacentral:lncRNA from 1 species
GUGGGUCGCUGGUGACUGUGCUCUCCAGCCGUGGUUGCCUCCUCUCCCAGAACUUCGUCCGAGCUAUCUAUCUUCUGAAAUUGUCAAGUCCUCCCUUAGCCGAUCGAUUAGUUACUUCAACCAGCUGGUCCAAGUUAAUCGUUACAUUCUUUACUCCAUCCAUCCAGUUUAACCUAAUCUCAAGGUUAGAUGAAGGGGCUACCCGUGCGAUGGUGUCGACAUCCUCCCAAGUUUUCUCAUCGAGGUCCAAGCCUACCCAUUCCACCAUUACUUGAGCUAUCUUUGUUCCCUUUCUGUUGACCAAACGGUAUGCCGUAAUUAUGUGAGGAAUUAUAACCGGGUGUGAGUCUAGAGUUAAUGGAGGUAUCGUGACUGCAUCCGGUUUGGGAUUGUCUCCUUGAAAUCGCUUUAGGAGAGAUAUGUGGAAUGUCGGAAAAAUUCGACAUGUCAGUGGUAAAGUCAAUCGGUAAGCUACCACGCUAAUUUUCUUUCGGAUUUAAUACGGACCAUUGAUAUGGCAUUGAUCAAUGGAGUGUUGGUGAUGGGGUUUUAAUUUGAGCCAUACCCACUCCUCUUCUUCGAACUCAACCGAUUUCCUUUUCCGAUCCGCAAAUUGUUUCAUACGCUCUUGUGCCUCCCUUAGAUUCCCUCUUAAUUCAUUAAUCAUUGUCUUCCUUUCCAUGAAGAUGGUAUCUACUGCCUCGAUCAUUGAGUCACCGGGUCGAUAGUCGAUAAUAUCUGGAGAGGUCCGACGACUUGAAAUGGGGUUGUUUUAAUACUAUGAUGAAAAAAGCGAUUAUGCGCCAAAUCGCGAGCACAGAGGAUGAAAUCCCAGAUUUUAGACUCCAGAAAUCACAGUCGGAAAAUUGUUAGUCCAAGAAAUCACGGACGGAAAAUCACGGACAGAAAUCGAUCCCAGAUUCCAGAUAUCAUGGAUGGAAAAUUCUAGGUUCAUGGAUAAUGAGAUCCCAGAGCUCCGCAAUUAAAAACACGGAAAGAAAAUCACGAUCAAUGAAGACUGCAGCAUGGAUAGAAAUCAGUCAAUUGACUACAGCACGGACGAUCGAAUCGUGAAUAUAAGAAAUCUCCUCACGAGUGCGGAUGAUAAGCACGGACAUGAAAAUGACGAUCGAUCUGCAGUUUCAGAUCUGAAAUCGCGGAAUGACGGAUCG